CAAAGGAGUGGGAGGAAGACUGGAAGUCUUACCAGAUACAGCUGGGCUGACUCGUGAGCAGCACCAAUCAAUAUAGUGUCUCUGAGUUCAUCCUCCUGGAACUCUCCAGGCAGCCCCAGCAGCAGCAGCUCCUCUUCCUGUUCUUCCUCAUCAUGUACCUGGCCACUGUCUUGGGAAACCUGCUCAUCAUCCUGGCCAUCAGCACAGACUCCCGCCUGCACACCCCCAUGUACUUCUUCCUCAGCAACCUGUCCUUUGUGGAUGUAUGCUUCUCCUCCACCAUUGUCCCUAAGAAUGCACCAUGAGCACUCCUGCACAGUGUUGGGAGAAGAGUGAGGAGUCUCAAUGGGACAACACUGGAAAGUGACUAAUGGGAGAAUUCAUAUCAGGAGGUAAAAACUUAGCAUGGAGACACCCUCAGAGAGAUGGAGACUCUCAACAUGAUGGAAACCCACAGUGUGACUUGUCCUGUCCAAGACAGCCUCAGCAUGACUUGUCCUGUCCAUGACACUCUCAGCAUGACUUGUCCAGUCCAUGACACCCUCAGGAUGACUUGGCGAGUUCAUGACACCCUCAGUGUGAUAGAGACGACCUCAGCAUGAUGGAGACACCCUCAGUGAGACUUGUCCUCUCCAUGACACCCUCCGCAUGACUUUUCCAGAACAUGACACUCUCGGCAUGACUUAUCCUGUCCAUGACACAAUCAAUGAGACUUGUCCUGCCCACUCAGCAUGACAACUCAGCAUGACUUGUCCUGUUCAUGAAAACCUUAGCAAGACUUGUACUCUUCAUGACACCCGCAGCGUGACUUCUCCUGUACCAGACAACCUCAGUGUGACUUGUCCUGUCAUGACACCCUCAGCAUGAUAGAGGCACCCUCAGCGUGAUGGAAAAACCCUCAGUGAGACAUGUCCUGUUCAUGACACCCUCAGGGUGACUUUUCUUGUCCUGAAUUUUCAGGGUGACUUUUCCUGUUCAACACCCUCAGUGAGACUUGUCCUGUCCAUGACACCCUCAGUGUGACUUGUCCUGUCCAUGACACUCUCAGUGUAAUUGUCCUGUCGACGACACCCUCAACAUGACUUGUCCUGUGCAUGAUAUCAUCAG
rnacentral:lncRNA from 1 species